UACGUAGGGUGCGAGCGUUAAUCGGAAUUACUGGGCGUAAAGCGUGCGCAGGCGGUUCUUUAAGUCAGCUGUGAAAGCCCCGGGCUCAACCUGGGAAUUGCGGUUGAAACUGGCGAACUAGAAUCUGGCAGAGGGGGGUGGAAUUCCACGUGUAGCAGUGAAAUGCGUAGAGAUGUGGAGGAACACCGAUGGCGAAGGCAGCCCCCUGGGCUGAGAUUGACGCUCAGGCACGAAAGCGUGGGGAGCAAACAGG
rnacentral:rRNA from 1 species